AGAGUUUGAUCCUGGCUCAGCAUGCCGGGGUGAAUACGUUCCCGGGCCUUGUACACACCGCCCGUCACACCACGAAAGUCGGUUCUACCCGAAGUCGCCGGACUAACCCUUGGGAGGUAGGCGCCUACGGUAGGGCUGGUAAUUGGGGUGAAGUCGUAACAAGGUAACC
rnacentral:rRNA from 1 species